rnacentral:rRNA from 1 species
CAGCCGCCGCGGGAAUACGGAGGGUGCAAGCGUUAAUCGGAAUUACUGGGCGUAAAGCGCACGCAGGCGGUUUGUUAAGUCAGAUGUGAAAUCCCCGAGCUUAACUUGGGAACUGCAUUUGAAACUGGCAAGCUAGAGUCUUGUAGAGGGGGGUAGAAUUCCAGGUGUAGCGGUGAAAUGCGUAGAGAUCUGGAGGAAUACCGGUGGCGAAGGCGGCCCCUGGACAAAGACUGACGCUCAGGUGCGAAAGCGUGGGGAGCAAACAGGAUUAGAUACCCCGGUAGUCCCUGUCUCUUAUACA